UUGCUUGCGCAACACAUAUACUAAAAUUGAAAUGAUACAAAGAAAAUUAGCACAGCCUGUGCUCAAGGAUGAUGCACAAAUUUGUGAAGCGUUACGCAUAAAU